UUUAAUGUUCCUUACUAUGUAACCCGCUAGGGCCAGUUAUCAACUAUCCAAUUUAGUGAUAUUUAUUGAGACAAAUAAAUGAUAAAACAACUGAACCUUAAUACAUUUCCCAAGGACUGGUAGUACAAAUCAUGAACUUCUAAGAUUUAGAGUUGACACAACUGGUAUGAAAUAAAUACAUCAUCUGUUUGAAAUAUACAUGAACAUGUUAAAAUUCUAAAGCUACCAAGAUCAAGAGGCAACUAUGAUCGGAAAUCAGGUACGUCUUCAAAUCCAGCUCCUGCCAUACACAACAUCAACAUCCAACAUCUGCACGCAAGGUGAAGAAGUGUAGUAUGAGUACAACCGACCGCAUGUACUUAAUAAGUGACAAACCUAAUCUUAGGUUGAAAGUAAUGACGAGCUGGGACAAGGGUCAGUGUCCAACUCCAGUAACCAACAUCAAUCCAUAACAACAUAAAAAAAUGGUACAAGAACUAACUCAGAGGUAUGAUGCUUAACUCAUUCAGAGUUACGAGAAAGUAGGCUUAUUUUUCAAAGAUGUUAGUAAAACUCAAUUCUUUUACCAAAAAUAUAAGUAAGUUUAAAAACUGUGAUUUUUCCUAAAAUCUUUCAACAACAGUUAAGAAGUCUCAUUAUCAAAUGGCAUGAGGAAAGUACAUCUCUAUUCCUACAUGUCAAUGUGCAUGUGAAUGUCAUAAAUGUCACAAAACCGUGUAACAUGAGGGAAUGCAUCUUUAUGCCUGUGUGCUAAGUAUACAUGUAAAUGCAAUGCACCACAGUGAUGAACUCAUGUACCCACACUCUCAAAGUACUCAACCUCACUAUCUCACACUCUCACUCAUCACGCUCAAUCACUCAACACACUCGGUCACUCAGCAUUGUACGGUACCUGCUGCGGCGCACGACCCGAUCUCAUUAUGAAUCAAUAAAACCUGCACUCAUUAUGGGUGUGCAGACUUCGGAAGGGUGGAUCUUUCCCAAAUGCUAAUAUAACGUGCUGUGGCGUGCAACCUGAUCCAUAUAUAGCCCUAAGGCCUGUUGCAGCGCGCAACCCAAUCCACAUAUAGCCAUAUGGCUUAUUGCGGCGUGCAACCCGAUCCACAUAUAUAUAGACAUAAGUCUUGUUGCGGCGUGUAACUUGAUCCAUAUAUAUAUAGCCAUAAGGCUUGUUGCGGUGUGCAACCCGAUCUACAUAUAUCAAUAAUACCUACUACGGUGCGCAACCCGAUCCCAUCAAUAUCACUCACAAUCCAGCCCUCAGGCCCCAACUCAUUCAUCAACCUCUCCAAUCUCUCAGGCUCACAAAUCUCAUGCCAAUCAACCCAAAUAAUGACAACAAUAUGAUGUGACAACAAAUGAUAUCAGAGGUUGAGAUAUGAUAUGUAAAUGAAUGAAAAUGAUUGAGUAUGUACAUGCAAUUUAAGCAAUAAACUCAACAGCAGAGAUGACCUCAGUAGGUACCAACAUAAUAAGCAUAUAGCCUAAACAUAAUUUAUAACAUGAUUCAUAGCUCAAUUCCUCUAACAUGUGAAAAUUUCAUGGAUAGAAAUAGGAUUAGGUAACUACACAGUAUUACAGAAUCAACCGAGUCAUAAUUCAUGCGGUGCACGCCCACACACCUGUCACCUAGCAUGUGCGUCACCUUAACACUAAGCACAUAACAUGUAUAUUCAGGGAUUCAUACCCUCAACACCAAGUUUAGAACUGUUACUUACCUCGAACAAGCCAAAUCCAAUAUCUAGCAAGCCAAACGAUGCUCCAAAAAUGCCAUCCUGCAUGUACCGACCUCCGAACGGCUCGAAACUAGCCAAAAGCAACUCAAAUACAUCAAAUAAUGCCAAAAGAAACAAAAUUGAUAAAGGUAGAAUCUUUAAUCAAAACCCCAAAGUCAACAAAAAAAGUCAAACCCGGGCCCGCCCUUCGGAAUCUGACGAAACUCACAAAAUUCGACAACCCAUUCAAUUACGAGUCCAACCAUACUAGUUUCACUCAAAUCGACUAUGAAGAUGUUCAAAACUCAAAAAUUCACUUUAUGAAUUUUUAGACAAAACCCCCCAAUUUCUCUCUUUAAAAUUCACCAAUUACCAAAAAUGAAGAUAUAUUCACGAAAUAUAAUCAAAGCUGAGUAGAGAAUACUUAACCCAAUCCAUAUGGUGAAAAAUUGCUUAAAACAUCAUAUCAAUGCAAGCUCCAUAGCUCCAAAUAUGACUAAAUGAAUAAACCCUUGAUAUUAAAUAUUUCUGCCCAUGCUGUUCUACCUCGUUUCUGAUGCCAAACAAUCCCCAAAACUUGCUUUUGAUGCCUCCAAUAGAUUCCUUGGGAAAUGUCAGUCAAGUUAGGCUUUUUAAUCACUCCAUUUGACCUUAUAAUGGAGGAGAUAUGAUGGUUUCAAUAUUUGAAAAUAGUGCAGAUUUUUAAAUACGAAGUCAGUUGCAAUUUCGUAAUUAAUCUGGAAAGAAUUUGGCAACCCAUUUCUUAGUAAAAUAACCAUAAAUUACUAUACGAUGUCCAAAUUUGCCGGUUCUUUUUGCUAUGGCUCUGUAUUUACGAUAUAGAUAUAAUGCUUCAAUCAAAACAGAAAUUGGAGCCCAUUUGUUUAAUUACUAUUUAUGCUUGAAGAAACGACGUUGAAACAUAAAAAAACGAGUGCAACAAAACCCAAACCUAUCUGAAACUCACCCGAGCCCCUCAGGACCCCGUCCGAACAUACCAACAAGUCCCAUAACAUAACACGGACCUACUCGAGGCCUCAGAUCAAGCAUAACAACAUCGAACCAACAAAUCGCACCUCAAAUCAAACUUAAUGAACUUUUGAACUUUCGACUUCCAAAAACUCGCGUCGAAACAUAUAAAAUCAAUUUGGAAUGAACUUAAAUUUUGCACACAAGUACCAAAUGACAUAACUAAGCUAUUCCAAUUCCCGAAACCACAAUCUGAAUCCGAUAUCCUCAAAGUCAACUCUCGGUCAAGCUUAUGAAUUUUCCAAACCUUCAAAUUUCCAAGUUUCACCAAUUAGAGCCUAUAUACGGUAAAAUCGGAGGGUCCAAUUUUUUGUCAUUUCGACGUCUCGUAAGCACGUCUCGAAGACUCAAGACUACGGUCGCGUUUCAUCCCUCGAGGUCCAUCGUUAGUCGACCUCAGGGCAGUACAGACCGACGGAUACAGAGAGAAAGUAGGGAGUUCCCAAGUCGCAUAAAUAGGGCUGACAAAGUUUAGUGGACUAGUCCAAAAAUGAAUCAAGGCAUUAACUAGCUGUACCGUCUCCAUAUAUUUGUAAUUAAUGCAUUUGUACUAUGUUAAGAUUCCCCCUCAUAUAUAAAAGGGAUCCUUGUCAUUUUGUAGACACCUGUUGCUCAAUACCAAAUACACAAGAACAUAUUCUGUUGCUCACAUUACUCCCAUUUAUUGCUUACAUUCAUUGUAUUUUAUUUAUUGUUCAUCAUUUAUUGCUUAUCAUUGAUCAUAAAGAGCCAUCAUUUUAGCUCUCAUACUGUUAGUCCUCCAUCGAUCUCUCUAACCGACCUCCAGACUCGACCUCGAGGCCUCGUACACGGCAGCUCGAGGCUCUGACCUCCAGCCGCUCGGCUCGAUUAUCACAUCGUUUUCUAACUAUAAUCUCGCUUUCUAGUCUCUUACUUUAGCAUCCUUUGCCUUACAACUAGCAUAUAAAUAGAUCACAUAUUUUUAGAACCACAAAAUCAAAUUUAAUUGUUAUUACCAUUUUCUCGGUAAACAGUUUGGCGCCCACUGUGGGGCUAAAGAAAAUAGUGAUUAUUUUCUUGCUGGUUUUACUAUGUAACAAAAGUUAUCUUUCACACUUUUUCUUGCCCAAGAUCUUUAAUUUUAGGUCAAAAUGUCUGACUCGGUAAACAACAAUCUUGUGAACCAUGGAGAAAAUGGUGUGGAUGUUCCAGGUGUUGGUGUACCACCACAAAACCCUGAGAACGUGCCAGAACCAAUUCCUGUGGAUGUGGUCUCACGCGAUGCCCAACAAGUUGAUAUAACCUCCCACACUAACAGGAGCAUGCACCAAGGAGACAAACAGGAAGCUCAGUAAACUCCAACUAGGGAAGAACGGGAGGUUAGCCUUCACGUUAUUUUUGAAAUGUUGCAGGCACAACAGUUGGCGAUUGCCCAGCUACAAAGUCACCAUAAAUCUCCCAGCACGGUAGUACCGAGGAUGGCUCCCCCAGCCGAGCAGGUACCGGAGGGAUCAAGCAACAACGGGUCAUCAGCCGACCCCACAAUCGUAAAGAUGCUCGAGGACCUCACGAAGAGGAUCGAGUCAGGCGAGAAGAAGAUAAAAGCCAACGACAAGAAGGUAGAGACCUACAAUUCUAGGGUCAAUCAAAUUUCGGGCACACCCCCGAUCCUAAGAGGGGUAGACUCGAAGAAGUUCGUGCAAAAGCGGUUCCCACAGGAAGCGGCCCCAAAAUCCAUUCCAAAGAAGUUCAGAAUGCCCGAGCUUCCAAAGUACAACGGAACCUCGGACCCCAACGAGCACAUCACUGCCUAUACUUGCGCAGUGAAGGGCAACAACCUAAAAGACGACGAGAUCGAGUCCGUCUUGCUAAAGACGUUCAGGGAGACACUCUCGAAAGGGGCCAUGAUGUGGUAUCAUAACCUAGCUCCUAACUCUAUACACUCAUUUUCCAUGCUGGCAGAUUCUUUCAUAAAGGCACAUGCCGGUGCCAUCAAAGUAGCAACAAGGAAAUCCGACGUCCUCAAGAUCAAGUAGAGGGAGAAUGAGAUGCUGCGAGUGUUCAUAUUUCGCUUUCAAAUGGAACAAAUAGAACUACCACUUGUCUCUGACGACUGGGCAGUACAGGCCUUCACUCAAGGUCUGAAUGAACAAAGGUCGGUGGCUUCGAAGCAGGUGAAACAAAAUCUAGUUGAAUAUCCCACCGUGACCUGGUCGGUCGUUCACAACCGAUACCAGUCAAAGAUCAGGGUCGAAGACGACCAACUAGGAGCCCCCUCGGGCUCAGUAUAUCCCACCAAGCUUCCAGCAAAAGAGCCAAAGCCAAACAAGGAAAGAUACCCACCAUACACUGAAGAUAGAAGAAACGCCCCGAGGCGCAACAUACCCUACAAUGAUCGAAGGAUGGACUGAGGCCAGAAUCCUCAGGGACUUGUCAACAGAGCUGGGUUUGAUAGGUACACAGGGCAGACAGAGGCACCUCACUUGUCGGAAUACAACUUAUACGUCGAUGUAUCAGACAUCGUGUUCGCCAUCAGUAAAAUUAGAGACACUAGGUGGCCAAGGCCUGUACAAUCAGACCCUUCACAAAGGAACCAUAAUUUAGUAUGUGAAUUUCACAACGCGCAUGGGCACAGGACCGAAGAUUGUCAACAACUCCGGGAAGAAGUGGCCCGAUUACUCAGCAAAGGUCACCUCCGGGAAUUCCUCAGCGAUCGAGCCAAAAAUCAGUUUCGGGAAAGACAGGCGACCAAAAAGAGCGAAGAAGAUGAGCCACAACAUGUCAUCCAUACAAUCUUUUGAAGUGUCGUUGCCAAGCAGUAAUUCACGACUAGGAGAAUAAAAACAUCCCUCGACAGGGAAAAGCGAACUCAAAGCUCUAUCUCGGCCCCAUAAUGGUACACUGGUAACUUCUCUUCUUAUGAACACAUUUCAAAUUGAACAUGUAUUUGUGGAUCCAGGUAGCUCGGCCAAUAUUAUCAGAUCGAAGGUGAAAGAGCAGCUCGGACUGCUUGACCAAAUUAUGACCGCCUUUUGAAGUCCUCAACGGACUCAACACGACGAACAAAAUAACGAAAGGGGAAAUCGUCAUACCAGUCAAUAUGGCCGGCACGACCCAAAACACCAAUAUCUCCACCGUCAAAGGGGCUGAAGGAUAAACAAAUAGUGAAAUAGCGACCGCAAGGCAUAUUCUCGGCUGUGUCCGAAUGAACAAACAAAGGGUCGUACCGCGUCCUUCAAGUAAAUAUUGAAGGCCUACCGAGGCUCAAAGCGCCAUCGUCACUAAGAUAUAACCAUCUCCCUUUCAAUGUACACAUCGUACUAACCUUUAUGUAGGUGUUUGACUGAGACAGACAAAGCGCUAACCUAGCUCAAAGACCUUAAUGUUUUAAAGCAUCCGUUGCACUCUUUUCCUUCGACCAAGUUUUUAUCCCGAAAAGGGUUUUACCGGCAAGGUUUUUAACGAGGCAACAUCUAUAUGCUACCUAAGGAAGACCCAACAAGUAUUCAAUGCUUCUUUUGCAAUCAACCUCAAAUACUGGGGGCAUCCCCCUGGAAGGUCACCUACUCAAAGAAGCUAAGAUGCGCUAAGUGGGGUCUUGAUAGGAAAAUAAUGUACCGGGCCAAACGGUCAAACAAACUGUGUCUGCAUAGAACAAUUGAGCUCGUAACAGCAAAAACGUGUAUACUUGUACCAAGUAAUUAAAGAAACUCAAUAUUUCUGCAAAAACGGCUCCUCAGUCAAAAACGUCCCGAACACUCGGGGACUGGCAUCAACAACUCAAAACAAUGCGACCCCCGGGUCGAAACUCAUAACUCGUAAGACCUCAAUGAGGCAACAUCAAGAUCACAAAACAGCUCCAGAGCCAAAAACGUCCUAAACACUCGGGGACUGGCGUCAAAAACUCAAGUCCACAUGACCUCCGGUUCGGAAACCUCAAAAUCGUAAGCCCUCAAUGAGGCAAUACCAAGUUUACAAGUAAUGGCUCCCGGGCCGAGAAAUCCUUGAUGACUGCCGUCUAUCGUCAUCUCCAUCGACUUAUCAAAGCCUGAGGCCAUAAGACCACAUACGAGCAGCCUCGGUCUCGUAAGACCUAUAUAAGGCAACAACAAUAUCUGUAAGUCCUCAAGCAAGGUAUGAACCACACUUGUACCAAGUGACAAUAGCUGUAAGACCUCAAACAAGGCAUGAAUCAUAUUUGUACCAAGUUUCCAAUACUGUAAGACCUCAAAGGCAUGCAAAACUUGUAAGACCUUAUUAAAUGCAUAAACUCGAUCUCAAAGUUAAGGCUAUAUAUCGAACUUGUAAGACCCCUAAAAAGACAUACCCUUGAUAUAGAUGCCGAAACUACUUCACUCGGGACUGAAAGGCUCCAGCCAAACACAAAUGACUAUGGUCACAAGGCUGUAUGAGCCAAACUAAUGUGACUCGAGGACGCCUGACCGCCGCUAUAAAAUCACAGGCCUUCAAUUACUUCGAAUAUACUUCUAAAAGAACCGGUUAAACAGGCUACCCUCGACACAGGCAAAAGAGCUUCGACCAUGUUAGCUCCAACUAUAAGGCUUCGAGAUACUUAGCUAUCGAGCCAAACCUCCCGAGGUGCUCGAUCAUCGCCAUAUAAUGACUUACAAUCGAGGUCCUUAUCGAACCGUGAAGAGUCAGGCAAACACAAUUUCAAAAAAGUCCUUAACGAGGGAAAAAUAAAGCCUAUAAGAAGUCGUACUGACCCAACACGUAAGAGCCUCUAUCGCUAGACCAUAUAAGAGGUCGUACUGACCCAAUGCAUAAGAGCCACUGUCGCCAGCCCAUAUAAGAGGUCGUAUCGACCCAAUGCGUCAGAGCCAUUAUCGCCAGCACAUACAAAAGGUCGUACAAACCCAACACAUAAAAGCCUAAAGGCCAGCUUUAAAUUCAAAAACUUGAGGGUCGAACGAGCUCGAGUUGAAACCCGAUUCGGAGAUUGAACCCAAAACAGCUAACUAAAUAUUCCUAAGAGCAAAAGCAUAAGAGCUCAAAACACUGGCUUACACUAAAAGGUCGUACCGACCAAGUGCGUAAGAGCCUGCAGGCCAGCCCAAUGAGCCCCAGAGCCAUAAUAUGAAUCUGAGGGCUCCUUUUUAACUCAAGGACCAGUUCAUCUGGCUAAAAUUAAAACAAAAAGGAAUACAUGAAUAAUAAAACUGCAAGGCUUCCUUUCGUACAUAUAUGCAAAAAAAUACGAGUUCCAUUUACAAGUGCUCUUUGAAAGCACUAUACGCAGAAAAGGAAGGCCUAAUCUACAUCCCCCUCGGGGACUAUGGCCCAUCGACCUCUUUCUCGCUAUCUUCGGCAUUAGACAGGAGGAGCUUAGCAUCAUAUUCUUCCGCCUUCGCCUACUUUAUCUCUUCCGAGAGAUCGAAGCCCCUAGCAUGGAUCUCCUCGAGGGUUUUCCUUCGAGAUUUACACCGAGCAUAUUCCUUGCUCCUGCCCUCGUAGUCAAGCGUCCUCCUCAACUCAGCUUGAGCAUCGGCAGAAUCCUUCAAGUAGACCGCCACUUUCUUGUCAGCCUUUGUUUGGCUCAUUACGGCUUAAGCCCGGGCAUCCACAACCUUGGCCUUUAUCUUCAAAAGCUUAGACUCGAGCUUUGGAAUCAUAUCUCUUCGAACUAAGCUAUUAUCACGAGCUAAGAGAAGUUGAACCUCAAAAGCGGAGGCUUUAGCCAGAGCACCCUUCAUUCCGAAGGCACUCCAGGUCCUUCGUCUUUUUCUGCAACUAAAAUAAACAAAACAUUGCUCAGGAGCUAGAAGAAGGAACACACACUCCCUCAGAACAAAACUACCUGCUCCUUCAGGAAGCUCUCAUAAUUUGAGCUUUGACUCACCUCAUAACGUAAAUACGUCAACUCAUCUUCUCUUUCAUCGCAAAGAAGCCUAACAGAUUUCUCCCCGUCGACAGUUUUUCGCAAUCUGGCCUCACGGCGAAGCAACUCAAAUUUGAGCUUAUUAAAAACCUGUGGAAGAGUAACAUGGUAAGAAAGUGAAAAUUACAAAACUAUAAAACCAAUAUGAACGGCCUGAACCUACCUCCGAGUAAAGCCGCUGAGCUUCCUCAAGAGUUGAGCAUAUAUCUACUGGCCUAGAUCCAUCUACCCAUAUCUACUUGGUGUCGAACAUCUCUCGAAGUGGCUUCGACAGGAGAAGAAGCCAGCGGCAUAGAACCUUCGAGUGCUGCAGGUUCAGCUAAAAUGCCCUCUCUAAGCCUCCGGUCCGGACUCGUCUUGCUACAAUCACUGUCAUCCUGCAAAGGCCUCUCCUGCUUAUUGUUAUUAAUAUCAUCCCCCAGUCCUAAAGCCAGAAGUCUUUCUCCCUCUCCUAAAGGGCACGACCUCGCUUUAAAGGACUCCCCAAUGCCUACGAUGACAGAGUUAAUAUGCAGAAAGAAAAAGUGCCCUUCCGAGAGAAGGGGAAGGGAGCAAAUCAUAUAGCACGUACCAUGGUGUUUUGACUCCGACCUAUCCUUAGAUAAAGCUUGCCACUUACGCUCAUUGCAUGUCGAGUAGGUUUCCAUCUUCCGAACCCAAUCCGGUAGAUCGGGAACCUCACCUGACAUCUACAAAAUUGGUGAAGAAAAGGAAAAGAAGGCGCAUUUACAAAGCCUGCUUUCGCCAUAAACAAAACUACUAAGGCACUAGUGUACCACUUAUGUGUAAAAUUUCAUUCCUCACGAAAUGGCAGAAACUCCACUGGAAUAAUAUCAACAGUCCGUACUCGGAUGAAUCAGCUCAUCUACCUCCAAUCUCUAUCUUCUUCAUCAUUAAUACUAUCCGCCAAAAUGACGGAUGCAUCUGUGCCAAAGUGACAUGGUACUUUUGACAGAAGUCGAGCACAACCCUAUCAAGGGGGCCCAAUGUAAAGGGGUAUGUAUACACGUUCAAAAACCCCUCGGCAUGUUCCAUGAUGCUCUCUUCCGGGGAAGGUACCCGCAGUACUUCCUCUUCCCCCCAUCCACAAUCCUUCUUCACCUACUCAAGAAGAUCCUCCUUGAAACAAAAUGCCUAGAGGCGGAACUCCCUUCUCCUUACCGAGCGGACCCCGACAUAGCGGCCAUAACUGUGGUAAAACUAGAGAAUUGAAGCGGGAAUUUGAGCAAGAGAGUUAAAACUAAAAUGAUGAAGGACCUAACGCAGGAAAUGAGAACUAUAUAAAAGAGGAUAACUACUCAGAAUAGCAGAAUCUCCAAAAGGGCAAAGACAACCCUAUAUAUGGAAAAAGCGGCGACCAACCGCCUACCUCAAAGGCCGAUUAAAAAUACUGGCUAAAGCUUUUAUCUAUUUGGAAAGAUAUGCCGGCGGAAUCGCCUUGGUCAUUUCGUAACCGUGCCAUACACUUGACGCCACCAUACGACGUUUCAGGGUUGGGGACCCUGCAUCAACCAAGCCUCAAGAUGGUACUUGAUCUCGAGGACCUCCACCAAAAAGAAGAUAGGCUCCAGGAAGCCGUUGAUAUCAUUACGAGCCUCGAGAUGGUAACCGAUCUCGAGGACCUUUUCCAAAAAGAAUAUAGGCUCCAGGAAGCCAUUGUCAUCAUUAUAGGCCUCGAGAUGGUACCCGAUCUCGAGGACCUUCAACAAAAAGAAGAUAGGCUUCAGGAAGCCAUUGGCAUCAUUAUAGGCCUCGAGAUGGUACCCGAUCUCGAGCACCUUCACCAAAAAGAAGAUAGGCUCUAGGAAGCCAUUGGCAUCAUUACAUGCCUCGAGAUGGUACCCGAUCUCGAGGACCUUCACCAAAAAGAAGAUAGGCUCUAUGAAGCCAUUGAUCAUUACAGGCCUCGAGAUGGUACCCGAUCUCGCGGACCUCCACCAAGAAGAAGAUAUGCUCUAAGGGUCCAUUAAUAUCAUUGCGAGACUCGAGAUGGUAACCUAUCUUGAGGGCUCUUCUCUCAACAAGAGGAUAAACUCUAAGAACCUACUCAUACGGGCUUGGCCUUGAGGUACCAACCAAACCCGGGUAAGCCCUCAUCCGGGAUCUAUCUGCAACUCCUUAAGGCUUUCUACACUAAGUUCAAAGCAAGUCUCCAGGUGUCACACCUCCUUUUUACUACACUCGUAAGGGUGUAAGGGAGUUUUUCCCAAUUUAAGUGACAAUCAAAACGAGAUUUAUUUAUUUAUUCAGAGUCGCCACUUGGGAUAAUUUAUGGUGUCCCAAGCUACCGGUUUAGAAUCCCGAAUCGAGGAAAGUUUGACUUUGUUUUAUAGUCCGCGAACACAGAAAUCCGGGUGAGAAAUUCUGUUAACCCGAGAGAAGGUGUUAGGCAUUCCUGGGUUCCGUGGUUCUAACACGGUUUCUCAACUGUUAUUAUUGGCUCAAUUAUCUGAUUUUAUACAUUUUUAAAACCUGCGUGCAUUUUUAACUUUCUAGACACUUUUAUUUAUUUAAAAAAUUAAUCCAAGGUUAUUUAAAACACAUCGCGAGCCACACUACAUGAAAUGCACCCGUGAGUCACGACACAUUCUAUUCAACUUCGUUGGAAAUUAGAACCGGACCACAUGAAAUGUACCCCCGGAUUUUAGAUAAAAGCUAUUAUAAUUAUAUAAUUAACGCUCCUAAAGCAAGCUACAAAGUUCAUUUUUAAUACUUAAGUUGUAAAAUUAAUAUUAGGUCCAUAGGAGAUUUAAUAGAUGGCACGCCUCAAUUCACUUUUAAGAGAUUAUGCUUAGCCAAAGUCACCUAAAGAUACUUGAAUUUUGCGUAAAUUGAGUUCUAUCUAACAUUACUAAAAUCAGCCUACACAGAAUACCACAAAUCCAUCGACAAAACUAUAACGUAACAAAACUAUAAUACAAUACCACAAAUUGUUGUCCCUUUACUUGAAAAUUACGUACCAAGUGUUAUAACUAUAACUAAUUUACAUGCGCAUAUUACCUUUCAAUCUUUAGCUUAAUCAGUUAACAUUGGAUUCAUUUUAAACUAUAUUCUGAGAUUGCAAAUAGUAUGUCGCAAUUUUCCAUUUUUAACAAAUCAAAAAAAGUACUCUAAACAAAAUUAAGCAAAGUAAUUAUUCUGUUGAACAUUGCAAACAAAAUCCCAGAUACUAGUAUACCAAUUUCGAGAAUAGAAAUUCAUUCAAACCAAAAGCACCAAGGUAGAACACCCAAAAUUCUUGAAUUAAUUAAAGAAAAGAGAUAAAAGGAACCUCAAACAAAGUAUUGCCUGUCACGAGAAUCUCCAACUUUACAAUUUCUGUUUGGACGCAAAAUUGCUACGGCAAGGAACGACGACCGGAACCUCAACGAAACAAACUCGACUCUUCAACGAUGACUGAAACCAGAUUGGACUGAACUCAACAAUGAGUUCAACAAUCAACAACAACAAAUUUUCAACUUCAACAGCUUUUGGGAACAGAUAUCAAUUGAAGUUUUCGAAUGGCAGAAUUCCGAUCUCAGUUGCUUCUGUUCGUUCCUAUAUCUAUCUUUGUGUGUGUGUGUUUUGUUCCCCACUCUUUCAGUUUCGUUCCCUCUUUUCUCGAUUGAAAGUCGGUUGCUUUGGGGCUUUUUGUGAUCUAGAAUUUUAUCACUCUAUGUUGCGCUGGAAAAUGUAUAGAUUGAUAUGGGCGGUUGAUUUUGCUCCUAAGUUAGGGGUCCUUCAUUUUUGUUCUUUUCUUCGAUCUUUUUCAGAGAAGCGGCGGAUGUUCUCCUUUUGUGUGUUUUAGGCGUUAGUCUAUAUAUGAUUAUAUAGUCUAGGUCAAGGUUUUUGUAGGUUUUUUUAGGUUAGGGGGUAUGAGCCUAGGAAUUAUGGGCUUGGUAAUUAUGGGCUAGGU
rnacentral:lncRNA from 1 species